ensembl:lncRNA
AUAUCUUGACCAGAGCAUUACCGGUUAUCUUCACCCAAGAGACCUACUGUUGGACAUUCUUUUUGGAUUUAAAGGUAAACACAUUGUUAGUCACAAUGUCUAGUUACUGGGCCAAAAGGAGAAGAAUAUUGAAAGGAGUCAAGAGGGAUAAAAAGGAUAUUGCGGCUACAAACAAUGCUCUACUACUCUCUUUUUUCUGACUUUGACCAAGUAACUCCCCAUGUUAAUGAACAUCUACAUGGAAUGGCUACAACAAACCAUGUACAAACUGUAACCCCUGUAGCACAGGAAAUAAUUGUUGAUGAGGCAUGUGAAGCUGGUGAGAUGUUUUCCUCAAGCACAGAAGAUGAUGAAGAGGAAGAGGAUUGCCUAAGGACACAAUUGGCAGGGUGGGCUAUUGACAACAUGAUCCACCAUGUGGCACUUGGUAAGCUUUUAACCAUUUUGUCCAAGGAUCAUCCAACCCUUCCUAAAGACCCAAGAACCCGUCUUAAAACGGUGACUUGUGUUAAAACAACAGAACUCUCAGGUGGUGUAUUUGUAGUUUGGUGUGAUGCUUAAUUUGUGAUCUUGCCACUAAACUAUAUUUGUUAGAUUUUCACAUUCCUGUUUCCUAUUUUUCAGAACAAGGUUUCUCACCAGUGGUCCAGUCUCCACUUCUAAGAGCCAAGAGUUUGAGUAAAACUGGAGGAGAACCAAGCCUGCUGGAGGGGAAGCAAUGCACGAGCAGCUUGAUAACUGCAGCUCACUUCAAGAUCAGUUGAAGCAAGUUGGGACAAUGAUGAAGACCUUUGCUCGCACAAGGCAAUCAGGCGCAGAUCAGACCCUAAUGCUGCGACGUCUUGGGAGAGUUUGGCGAUGUUGUGCGUAGCAUGGAAAACAAAAUGGACACAUUGCUGCAACAUUUCAGUGCCAAUGUGUCUGUUGGAGAGUUAUCCCUGCCCAGUGGUCUUUUACUCCCCAUAAACACCCAGGAAGAUUUGGCGUUGCUUGACAGCAGCUUGAGGCAGGAUAGCGAGCUCCAGGAACGAUUUCUUUUUUGGCCAUCAAAUGUGGGAAGGACCUGAAGACAACUGUGUAGAGAAUGCUUCAGAGUAUCUUCUCAAAUCGCCUUUCAAUUUCUACAACUUGGACUAGGGGCUAAAGCUUGUUUUAAAGACCUGUUCCUGAAGACCAUUGUUCAAAGUAAAGCGGUAAAGCUGCCUUUGUUAUAACUGUGGCGGAACGGCGGUUGACCUGCUGUCCGUCCGCGAAAGAAAGGCGGUCCGCCGGCGGCGAUUACGCCAUUCUGCCGCUGCUACGAUCUCUGGCGAACCGCUGGCGGCCCGCCGACUCAUUGCUAUCUGGGACGGGGCUUCAAAAGGACGUAUGACAUCACCUCGCAUUACCAAGGCUAGCAAAGGCCUAGUUUAUGCUUCUGCGUUUUCAGAGAGACGCAAGGACACGCAGACGCAAGACCCCCUUGCGUGUCCCUUGCGUGCCUUUUCACUCCUCCUUGCGUGCGUCAACCCAUUUUUCUACGCAAGCCUCCCGCAGCGCACAAGGCUGCGAUUGGUCUGCUAUCUACAUCCUUAACGGAGUCUCACAUUUCUGGUUUCAUAGCACAAUACCGCCAUUAUUAAAGUGGAGAAUGUUUACGAGAGAACGGAUCAGAUUGAAGAGCUUUUGUCAGAAGAAAUGCGUAAAUAUGACCGCUUCUAUAUCCCGUCAUUGGCGGACUAUAAGGAAGCGCUGAUGGUCUCUGAUUCAUGGAGAGAGAUCUCCGCAAACGUCGGUUUGCCGGUUGAGAGGUGCACAAAGUUGUGGGGGAAAAUACGGGACAAAUGUGUCCGUGAUGAAAAGCAGCAGUGUCGAUGCACGGGGCAAUAAAGUCUAUGAUAAAUAAAUAAACAAAUAAAUAAAUAGACGUGACUCUCUAGGUCGUCUUGGACAAAAACACGUCACUCCGCCUGUUGUUCUGGCGGUGAAUUGCUCUGCAACACACGCAAGACUUUUAGAACCGUGAAUUGAAACGAGUGCGUCGACACAACGGUGCGUAAAGACGCAGAAGCAUGCGCCAGCCUUAAGUAAAAGUAUGUGAGUA